CACCCUGGAUAGCCAAACAAAGGCUACUCCAGGCCAAUUAAGACACCCAAUGCCAAUUAACCAGUUAAGGCCAUUAGGCUAAUGGAGACAGCUGGAAUCAAUCAAGGUCCCACUUAUAUUGUUUAAAAGCUCUCCUUCUAGGGCCCUCCAGGAGGCUGAGGUGAAAGGACCUGGAGGGGAGGAAGCAUUGCUAAAUCCUGAGCAGAUAAUUCAAGAUGGCUGACAGCAGAGACGAUUCAGGCACAAAGUGGUGAUUGUGACAUCUGUGGUUUAAUCUUUUUCCAUUUCUGAAGGGUGCUGUAAUGCUCCAGAUCCCUGCACAGAGAAGGGCUAAAGCUAGAACAAGCCAUUCUGCACUAUAGAGACCACAUGCAGAGCUUUUUCUUGGCAACCAGUGAUGUUUGAAUGUUUAAAUGAGGCGAAUCUGAAAUAAACUCACCAUUUCCUGGAAAGCAAAAAGUAUCUGAAAAGAUGGACAUCGGGCAAAAGGCAUGCUGCCCUAGGAUACUGAUGGGUAAUAAAAUGCAGCCCUGUCUAGGAAUUACCCAAUGCACAAAUAUUAACUUUAAGGGCUCAAGACAUUUUGCCUAAAACAGCUGCCUGCCUGCACCAAUAUUGUCUUAUAGCACUCACUGGGCAACACUGGCACAACAUGGAGGAGAAAAAACACAGGCAUAAGGAGGAGAGAACUACGGGGCAUGAGACAGAGAAGGAAUGUCCUCACCUCACUCUCCUGCAGUGCAAAAAAAAAAAAGUGCCUGGAGGUCUGUAUUAUUGCUGUUAUAUCAACUCCUCCUCAUCCAACUGGCUUUGCUCACUCACCCAUUACAUUUCCUUCCUCCUUCUCCUUAUUAUCUAUCUAUCUAUCUCGGUACUUAUAUGGGCCCCAUUCCUGCAGUGUCCAAGCCCUUCCAAUCCCUUAUGUUGGUUUGUUUUCAUCAAAUUCAAGCACUGUCCAUCUUGCACUGAAAAGUGAACUAAAAACAUGAACCGUGAUGCUGUUGUCAAGUGAGUAGCUGUCCCUCAGCCCCACCACUCGUUGCCUGUGGCAUUGGCAGUGGAUAAAGAAUGGGAACACACCACCUUACUAUGAGUAGGAAAUUAUCCCUGGUCUGUUUGGAAGAACACAUGAGCUUUUCCAAAGCUCUUCACGUUCCUCUCAUUUCUAUUCUUCUUUAAAUUUCUUCCUACAAUGGCUGAAUGAGUACAUUCUGAAGAGAACUCCUAACUUUUUCCAGCCGUAUACUAUAUCACACUUUUUUAGUCUUCAGAAAGUUUAGUUGGCAAGACAGGGGAGGGGAGCUACAGGAGCUGGUGACCGAAGGGGAGAAACAGAGCUACACAAGGCAGGGGAGAGAAGCAUGAGCGAUGGAGAGGCAGAGCAGGUUAUGGGGAAGGAGCCUACCGAGAGGGCAAAGGGAGAUGCAAAAUGGGGAGAGAAGAGACAAAGACACAAAAUAUGGGGAGAAAGCCAUUUAUAAUGAAAAUAGCAAGUAUAUAAUUGACCUUAACAAAGCUCUCUGCUCCAUCUUGGGUUUACUGUGGCAUUUGCUCUGCUCAGAUUCCUUGGUUUUUAUAGCCCUUCAAUAGAUUAUGAACCCAUAGCAACUUUGUCUAAUGGUUAGAUAUUUGGAUUCUUCUCCCAGACCAGCCAUUGACUUGCUGACCUUAGGCAAGUCACUUAAUCCAUCUCUCUCAGUUUGCCUAUCUGUAAAGAGUGGACAAUCGUACUUGGCCUGUCUAUCACGGAGCUGUUGGGAGGAUUAGUUAAAGAGCUUUGUAUGUGUAGAGCACUAUGUAAGCAGAUCCUCUGUAGUUGUUAGUAAACAUCAGCAAGUAGCACGCAUGAGCUUGAAUAACACAUAUACAGGUUAACCUUCCCUUUCCUCAUAGGUGUAAGGGAGUGGCCAUUACCAAUAUUUAAGUGUACUUUCCAAGGACAAUUCUUCAAAAGUGCUGCAGGUUUGAAGGCCAUAAAUCCCUUGGCUGCUGGCUGUUUAGUGCUUUGUGUACAGAGUGGGUGAAUUGUUAUUUUAAAUUAAUACACACACUCCAACAAUAACUUUGUUUGCCACACACAUAAUAUAUCUGGCACAAACCUAUGGAAAUUAAAAGGUAUGCCACUUUACAGGGCAUAUCCUGUAUUACUCCCCCCCACUGAUAUGUACCUUAACACUGCAAGCUGAUGGAAGGCUGGUAUCUCUGUGCGGCAGACAUAAUGUUGUGGUGCAUGGUCUGUUGUAGAUAGUACUCUUGGUAGUAGUAAGGUCAUGGUGUGGGUGCAGGAGUAAAGGGAGUGUACUAUAAGGUGAGUACACUACUAGAGUGUGAUGCCUGAUAGUGAGUUUUAAUCUGUAUGAUCCUAUCCAGCAAUACUUCACUUUAACAUCUGUAAAGUAGAUGGAGGCCCUUUGGUAGGAAGGGGCUAUACAAAUGUUAUUGUACCCUCCUUCAGGAAACGAUCCCAAUUUUUGGUGGCUGUAUCCCACUUAGAAUUUGCUAAAUCCUUAAUGUACAGUUUGGGCUAAUUUCCAUAGUGUCAUCUUUAAUCCAGGCACUUACUUUUUGUUUUCUGGUGAAAACAAUGUCACUUAAGCCACACACCAGGAAAUGCAUUUGAAGAAACAUGACUGCAACAACUUUUUUGCAUCAAAGACUAUCUUGACUUCGUCAACCAGCCUGCGUGGCUUAGCAUUACACAGUACGUCAGCUGAUCUGGCUCGGCACUCAAAGCUGUGCCUAUUAGUGAAGGA